rnacentral:rRNA from 1 species
AAACUAAGGGUCUUCCUGUGGCGGCUGGCGAGGCACACUAUGCCGACGAUGGACGUACUGCAUCACCGGCACAUGUCAGAUACUCAUCGGUGUUUGCUAUGCGGGAGGGAAGAUUCAUGGAGACAUGCACUCUUGGAGUGCACGAUGUCACGGUGUGUGUGGGCGCUCUCUGAGGAUGAAUUGGUGCAACUGUUGAGUAUGAACACGAAUCCAAACGCGAAACACUGGCUGCUGGAAAUGCAUGAUCAAUUAACGCACGAGAGGUUCGUUCUGCUGGUGGUCACCCUUUGGGCUACAUGGAGAGCACGACGUAAGGCGAUAUAUGAAGGGGUUUUUCAGAGUCCUGAAGGAACUAACCAG